rnacentral:rRNA from 1 species
AACGAACGCUGGCGGCAGGCUUAACACAUGCAAGUCGAGCGCCUCGCAAGAGGAGCGGCCGACGGGUGAAUAACGCGUGGGAACGUACCCUUAUCUUCGGAAUAGCUCUGGGAAACUGGAAGUAAUACCGAAUGUGCCCUUAGGGGGAAAGAUUUAUCGGAUAAGGAUCGGCCCGCGUUGGAUUAGCUAGUUGGUGGGGUAAAGGCCUACCAAGGCGACGAUCCAUAGCUGGUCUGAGAGGAUGAUCAGCCACAUUGGGACUGAGACACGGCCCAAACUCCUACGGGAGGCAGCAGUGGGGAAUAUUGGACAAUGGGCGCAAGCCUGAUCCAGCCAUGCCGCGUGAGUGAUGAAGGCCUUAGGGUUGUAAAGCUCUUUCACCGGAGAAGAUAAUGACGGUAUCCGGAGAAGAAGCCCCGGCUAACUUCGUG